GCGCCCUUGGUGUAAUGGUAACACACUGCAUUCCUAUCGUUGACGGUCGAAGAGAUUACAUAGCAGAGGCCGGGGUUCGACUCCCCGAAGGCGCG